rnacentral:rRNA from 1 species
AAUAGAUACCCGGGUAGUCCUGGCCGUAAACGAUGACCACUAGAUGCACGCGGGCUCGACCCUGGGUGUGUCGCAGUUAACGCACUAAGUGGUCCGCCUGGGGAGUACAGUCGCAAGGCUGAAACUCAAAGGAAUUGACGGGGGCCCGCACAAGCGGUGGAGCAUGUGGUUCAAUUCGACGCAACGCGAAGAACCUUACCUGGGCUCGAACGGCUGGUCAACGGAGGUGGAAACAUCUUUACCCCGCAAGGGGGUCCAGUCGAGGUGCUGCAUGGCUGUCGUCAGCUCGUGUCGUGAGAUGUUGGGUUAAGUCCCGCAACGAGCGCAACCCUUGUCCUGUGUUGCCAUCAUUCGGUUGGGAACUCGCAGGAGACCGCCAGCGAUAAGCUGGAGGAAGGUGGGGAUGACGUCAAGUCCUCAUGGCCUUUAUGUCCAGGGCUACACACGUGCUACAAUGGCCGGUACAAAGCGCAGCCAAGUCGCAAGACGGAGCCAAUCGCAAAAAACCCGGUCUCAGUUCGGAUUGCAGG